CCCACCUCCGAUAGCUCAACCCCAACUACCAAUCCCAAUUCUCGCGAAGCAAAAGGAAAGGGAAACUCGCGAUCCCCAUUAUCUCAAGACACCUUAACCCUAGCAGUAGUGCGCCGCAGCGAAAAGCGACGUCCAUAGAACAACCAUCAACCAUGGAGUGACUCAAGAUUGAUCCCCGGUAAACUUCCGGCUGCACCUCCGCGGUGACGCACGAGACAGGCCAGCCCGCCCUAGAGUGGAGGAUGGGGCUCUCAGCCAUCGGUAAACCGUGUGUGCAUCCACUCCAAAGCGGGCCACAACCCUCAAGGUCUAGGUCGACGUGGCAUGGUGGACUGAAUUUCCGCUGCAUCUACACAUCGUGCGCUCCACCCUACAGCCGCAGGUGGCUCUACUUUUCUGUUACUGCACCAAGUUGAACAAUAAAUCAUUUAUCUUCAGCCGAUGCAGAAAAUGAGCCGACGAGAUAAAAUUCCAUACCUUGCCCAUCAAGAUGGCUCUUCGAAGAUUCUGCUCUCAACCUAGAUUAAGUUUUUUUUGCAGAUCCAAAACAUCAGCAAGGACUGCUAUAUUUGAAGGCAGAACAUUAGAAGGAAUGUAUAUAGGAUUUAGUUACAGUGUUAUAUUUUGAAACAAGAUUGUAAGUUGUGUUCUCAAAAGAGAAUUUUCAUGUAUGGAAUUUGAUUUCAAUAAUAAAUGCUGAUUUUUAUC